rnacentral:rRNA from 1 species
AUUGAACGCUGGCGGCAGGCCUAACCCAUGCAAGUCGAACGAGUGGCGGACGGGUGAGUAAUGUCUGGGAAACUGCCUGAUGGAGGGGGAUAACUACUGGAAACGGUAGCUAAUACCGCAUACCAUCAGAUGUGCCCCGCUGGGAUUAGCUGGUGGGUGGGGUAACGGCUCACUAAGGCCACGAUCCCUAGCUGGUAUGAGAGGAUGACCAGACAAACUGGAACUGAGAGACGGUCCAGACUCCUACGGAGGGCAACAGUUGGGAUUAUUGCACAAUGGCCGCGAUCCUGAUGCAGCCAUGCCGCGUGUAUGAAGAAGGCCUUCGGGUUGUAAAGUACUUUCAGCGGUGAGGCGUUACCCGCAGAAGAAUCACCGGCUAAAUCCGUGCCAGCAGCCGCGGUAAUUC